GCCCCAGUAGCUCAUCUGGACAGAGCAACUGCCUUCUAAGCAGUGGGUAGCAGGUUCGAGUCCUGCCUGGGGCGCCA
rnacentral:tRNA from 1 species